GACUAGUUACAGUGAUUCGAUUGUAUACGAAAGGUACAAUCACUUUAUUGACAUUUGAUGUCCCAGAGUAGAGAUGGAGUUGGGCCCAAUAACUAUUAGAUGAGGGUCCCAAUGAUGGUUUUGUAUCUAUUGGUGAAUGAUGGGUCUAACUUAACUAAGAAAUAUACCAAUAACUAUUAGGUGAUGCCACAGGACUUAGAGACCAAACCUACUACAUCUUGCUUAGUAAAGUAAUGGAUAAAGUAUUAUCCACUCAUUGAUCUAUGCUCACUAAUAACUGUUAGGUGAGGUGUGCAUAGAUUAAUGAGACUGCAGUACCCACUUAAAAUCAAUC
rnacentral:lncRNA from 1 species